CGCGGAAUGGAGCAGCCUGGUAGCUCGUCGGGCUCAUAACCCGAAGGUCGUCGGUUCAAAUCCGGCUCCCGCAACCA
rnacentral:tRNA from 1 species